AUUGGUCAAUUUUCCUUUCUUUUAACAAUUUAAGUACAUAGAAAAUAACAGAUAAAUUAGACAAUGAUAAAGGUAUUAACAGAGUGUCAUGUUAAUAGCAAUUAAAUAGUUAAGGUAGAGGUUCAGGUGUCAGGGUCUGUGUACCUAUAGUUAAGGUAGAGGUUGUCAGGGUCUUUGUAUCUAUAGUUAAGGUAGAGGUUGUCAGGGUCUGUGUACUUAUAGUUAAGGUAAAGGUUGUCAGGGUCUGUGUACCUAUAGUUAAGGUAAAGGUUGUCAGGGUCUGUGUACCUAUAGUUAAGGUAAAGGUUGUCAGGGUCUAUGUAGCUAUAGUUAAGGUAGAGGUUGUCAGGGUCUAUGAAGCUAUAGUUAAGGUAGAGGUUGUCAGGGUCUAUGUACCUAUAGUUAAGGUAGAGGUUGUCAGGGUAUAUGUACCUAUAGUUAAGGUAGAGGUUGUCAGGGUCUAUGUACCUAUAGUUAAGGUAGAGGUUGUCAGGGUCUAUGUACCUAUAGUUAAGGUAGAGGUUGUCAGGGUCUAUGUACCUAUAGUUAAGGUAGAGGUUGUCAGGGUCUGUGUACCUAUAGUUAAGGUAGAGGUUGUCAGGGUCUGUGUACCUAUAGUUAAGGUAGAGGUUGUCAGGGUCUGUGUACCUAUAGUUAAGGUAGAGGUUGUCAGGGUCUGUGUACCUAUAGUUAAGGUAGAGGUUGUCAGGGUCUGUGUACCUAUAGUUAAGGUAGAGGUUGUCAGGGUCUGUGUGACAGGGAUUCUUUGUCCUUCAAGACCCGGUGUAGAGGUCUCGGAUGACAGGACGCUUGGCCCUAGUGAUGAAGUCUGCCGUUUGCUCUGUCCUCGGAAGCGCCUUGAGGUUGAGGGCAGGACAGUUGCCACUGCAAAAAUACAGCCAAUCAAGUUGGUUUUGAUGGUUCAGGUGUUGUUACUGUUUUGAAAACGAGGUUGAUGCUAAAUCUUUA
ensembl:lncRNA